CCCGGAGGCCUUAUCUCUCAUUCUCAUGUCUCUUUCCCUCAAAUUCUCCGGCCUUUUCUCAUCUAUUUGGCCGUACCUGGGUUUCAGAGAGUUUUCCCAUUUAAGAGUUUACAGCACUUGCAGACGCUCAUACUCACCCCAACCGAAGAACUUCUUCGUUUAUCAACUAAAUCGUAGACCUAUUUGCUCUAUCAACUGCAGCAGCAAUAAUGAUUAUGGCGGUUCAUCAGAUGCUACUCACAGCUUCUCGCCUAAUGACAAAGGUUCAGAUGAAAAUACUAGAAGUGGCUGGCAAGGAUCACUCUCAUCUAAAGAGGUUUUGAUGAGAUUGAGGAGAUACGGAGUUGCUGGAAUAUUAUCAUAUGGACUAUUGAAUACAGCUUAUUAUCUUACAACAUUUCUUCUGGUAUGGUUUUUUGUUGCUCCAGUACCUGGAAGAAUGGGUUAUAUUGCAGCUGUUGAAAGAUUUCUCAAGGUAAUGGCCAUGGUAUGGGCUGGAAGCCAAGUUACCAAGCUUGUAAGAGCUGGAGGGAUUGGAGAGAAGCUCUAAAAGAUCCGAAGUGGAAGAAAGUCAUGAUUGAAUAAAUGAGAGCAUUGACAAAAAAUGAAACAUGGGAACUUGUUUCACAUCUACAGGGAAAAAAGAUGGUUGCAAAUGGGUCACUGUAAAACACAAAGUAGACGGAUCGAUCGAAAGCUAAUCUUGAUUGGAAUUUACAACAGUUUGAUGUAAAAAAUGCAUUCCUCCAUGAAGACUUAGAAAAAGAGGUGUACAUGAAAAUUUCACAUGGAUUUGAAGAUGAGAGGAUGCAAGGAAAAGUUUGUCAAUUAAACAAGGCUUUAUAUGGAUUAAAGCAGUCUUCAAGAGCAUAGUUUGAACAGUUUAGAACAGUUAUAAUCUCUUUUGGAUAUCAACAAAGUAAUACAGAUCGUACCUUAUUUAUUAAACAUUGUGAGGGUAAAGUCAUUUUUCUCAUUGUUUAUGUGGAUAAUAUUGUGGUGACUGGAGAUGAUACAAAGGAGAUGACUCAGUUGAAGGAACUUAUUGCUCAAGAGUUUGAAAUAAAAGAUUUAGAAACAUUGCGAUAUUUUUUGGGGAUUGAAGUUGGCAGAUCCAAUAAGGGAAUCUUCAUUUUUCAAAGGAACUAUAUCCUAAACUUAUUAGAAGAGACUGGUAUGAUGGGUUGUAAGCCGGCAGAAUCACCUAUUGAGAGCAACCACAAAUUGCAAGCAAGUAGUGGUACAUUAGUUGACUUGGGAAGAUACCAGAGAUUAGUUGGAAGACUUAUUUAUCUCUCACAUACCAGACCCGAUAUAGCAUAUGCAGUUAGUCUUAUGAGCCAUUACAUGCAUGAUCCUCGUGACACUCAUUUACAUGUUAUUUUCCGCAUAUUACAAUACUUAAAGUCUGUACCAGAAAAAGGUCUGUUUUUUUUUAAGUAUGGUCACCUUAAAAUAUAAGCAUUUACAGAUGCCGAUUGGGCUGGUUCUCUAGAUGAUAGAAGAUCACUUACAGAUUACUGCACACUUGUAGGAGGCAACUUAGUCACAUGGAAAAGUAAAAAAUAAAGUGUGAUUGCUCGCUUCAGUGUUAAGGCAGAAUAUAGAGCAAUGUCUCAAAGAGUAUGUGAAGUACUAUAGUUGCAAAAGCUAAUGGGGGAGUUAAAACUACUUAAAAAUGAAAAACUCUGUGUUUUGUGACAAUAAAGCAACAAUUAACAUUGUUUAUAAUUCAGUUCAAUAUGACAGAAUAAAACACAUUGAGAUUGAUCGACACUUUAUAAAAGAGAAAGUGGUUGGUGGUUCUCUAUGUUUA